rnacentral:lncRNA from 1 species
GUUCUACUCCAUACACUCCAUAUAUAGGUUCUACUCCCCCUUUUUGUCAUCAACAAUGAAGGGGACAAAUUAUCCUUGGGUACUUAAGACACAAUUCCUAGUGGAAUUCAGCAUAUUACUAUGAAUCACUCAAGGAUAUUCAAGUUAUGCUCCCUCUGUCCAAGUUUUUGUUUAUUAAUGAAUUCAGCAUUCAUUUCACUCCCCCUUUGUUUUGGAAUUCAUUUCAGACCUUUUAAAGGUAGUUGUGCUCCCCCUGUUUCAUAUGCAUUGAUAAGUUGUGUCAAAUUUGAACACUUAAGGUAUGUUAUGAGAUUUUUAUGGCACAUCACAGAUUUACAUACACAAGAUUUGAUUCCACAGGAUUAGAAACAUACACAAAAUUUCAAAGAAAUUGUAUGACAUUCAUAUAUCAUUUCAAUCAUUUGAAGUCAUUACAAGGUUAAAAGGAAAGGAAAUCAUUACAAGUAUUGAUUCCUAAUACAAAAGAAGUUUCAAAAUUAGCCUAGGGCUUUACAAAAGGAUGAACCCUAGAUGUUUACAAACUGUCCUUCAACGGCGACGUUGCUCAAUAGCCCUAGCAGCUGCCUCUAUAAAUGCAUUAAUUGAAUCCAUUAGGGUUCUAAACUGAUCUCCCUAAGAUUGAUUGAAAGCAGCCACUAAUGCUUCGAACUCCCGGGAUGCCCUGUCAAUCUUUCCUCUAAGUUGGGCAGCCACACUGCCCACAUUGCCUCCAGGGCUCGUCAAUUCUUGAAGACUAUCUGAUAUGUUCUUCAAGUCAGCCUGUAACUCAAUUGAUCUUAAAGUUUGAGUUGUACC